rnacentral:rRNA from 1 species
UACGUAGGGUGCAAGCGUGUCCGGAAUUAUUGGGCGUAAAGAGCUCGUAGGCGGUCUGUCGCGUCUGCUGUGAAAACUCAAGGCUUAACCCUGAGCUUACAGUGGGUACGGGCAGACUAGAGUGCAGUAGGGGAGACUGGAAUUCCUGGUGUAGCGGUGAAAUGCGCAGAUAGUCAGGAGGAACACCGGUGGCGAAGGCGGGUCUCUGGACCGUAACUGACGCUGGAGGCAACGAAAGCGUGGGUAGCAAACAGG